AGCUUUGCGCAGUGGCAGUAUCGUAGCCAAUGAGGUUUAUCCGAGGCGCGAUUAUUGCUAAUUGAAAACUUUUCCCAAAAGCCUCCUUUUUCCCAUCUGAAAGAUCGGAAAUAAUAAUAAAUAAAUAAUAAAUAAAUAA
ensembl:snRNA U4 U4 spliceosomal RNA